CCUACGGGAGGCAGCAGUGGGGAAUAUUGCACAAUGGGGGAAACCCUGAUGCAGCGACGCCGCGUGAAGGAAGAAGUAUUUCGGUAUGUAAACUUCUAUCAGCAGGGAAGAAAAUGACGGUACCUGACUAAGAAGCCCCGGCUAACUACGUGCCAGCAGCCGCGGUAAUACGUAGGGGGCAAGCGUUAUCCGGAUUUACUGGGUGUAAAGGGAGCGUAGGCGGUUUAGCAAGUCAGAAGUGAAAGCCCGGGGCUCAACUCCGGGACUGCUUUUGAAACUGUUGAACUAGAUUGCAGGAGAGGUAAGUGGAAUUCCUAGUGUAGCGGUGAAAUGCGUAGAUAUUAGGAGGAACACCGGUGGCGAAGGCGGCUUGCUGGACGGUAACUGACGUUGAGGCUCGAAAGCGUGGGGAGCAAACAGGAUUAGAUACCCUGGUAGUC
rnacentral:rRNA from 1 species